rnacentral:rRNA from 1 species
AGAGACAGCAGUAGCCGCGGUAAUACGGAGGGUGCAAGCGUUAAUCGGAAUUACUGGGCGUAAAGCGCACGCAGGCGGUCUGACAAGUCAGAUGUGAAAUCCCCGGGCUUAACCUGGGAACUGCAUUUGAAACUGUCAGGCUGGAGUCUUGUAGAGGGGGGUAGAAUUCCAGGUGUAGCGGUGAAAUGCGUAGAGAUCUGGAGGAAUACCGGUGGCGAAGGCGGCCCCCUGGACAAAGACUGACGCUCAGGUGCGAAAGCGUGGGGAGCAAACAGGAUUAGAUACCCCAGUAGUCCCUGUCUCUUAUAC